rnacentral:rRNA from 1 species
CCUACGGGAGGCAGCAGUGAGGAAUAUUGGUCAAUGGACGAGAGUCUGAACCAGCCAAGUAGCGUGAAGGAUGACUGCCCUAUGGGUUGUAAACUUCUUUUAUAAAGGAAUAAAACGAGGCACGUGUGCCUUUUUGCAUGUACUUUAUGAAUAAGGAUCGGCUAACUCCGUGCCAGCAGCCGCGGUAAUACGGAGGAUCCGAGCGUUAUCCGGAUUUAUUGGGUUUAAAGGGAGCGUAGAUGGGUUGUUAAGUCAGUUGUGAAAGUUUGCGGCUCAACCGUAAAAUUGCAAUUGAUACUGGCAGUCUUGAGUACAGUUGAGGUAGGCGGAAUUCGUGGUGUAGCGGUGAAAUGCUUAGAUAUCACGAAGAACUCCGAUUGCGAAGGCAGCGUACUAAACUGCCACUGACAUUGAUGCUCGAAAGCGUGGGUAUCAAACAGGAUUAGAUACCCUGGUAGUC